UGGGGAGAUGGGUCAUAGCACAGGUGAAAGAAAUUUGUCCGGAAGUUGGUAACUUUUGAAGGUGGGUAAUAAUUAUAUGGGGGUUCAAUGUGCUAUUCUAUUUUGCUGAUGUCUGAAAGGUAUUGCCAUAAUGAAAUGGCAUAUAAUUCCACUGGUGGGUUCCUAUUCUAGGGCAAAUAUAAUUAAUCAACUUUUACCAAACCACUUCAAAAUCCUGUUAAGAGCUCAGUGCAGCAAUAUACCGAAAAGUAUUAAGCAAGCAGAUAUCGAACACACCCCUGGUUUUUACAGAUGCCUCAUUCCUUACAGCUCGGGCGAUGAACUGUCACAACCAACUUGUUCUACUAUAAGCUCAUGUGCUCUUUGACACGUAUUUGAAGGCUGGCAAAACUUGAUUUAAACCUUUAAUAGUACACACAAAGAAUCAUUAUCUUAAUGGUUCAUCUUAUCCCUACCAAGGUAGCUGAACAAACAGGAUGGGCAGGAAUAAUAUUAUAGCACAGAGGUUAAGUGCUCUUUUCUAUUAGAACUCAUUGGGGGCACCUGGCUGGCUCAGUCAGUAGAGCAUGAGACUCUUGACCUUUCGGUUGUAAGUUUGAGGCCUGCGUUGGGUAUAGAGAUUGCUUAAAAAUAAAAUCUUAACAAAAAGAAAAACAAAAAAGAACCCACUGGCAUUUGGCAACAGAUAAUAGAAAAAUCAGCUUCCUAAAGUUUAUUCAAAAAGAAGUAUUUUUUUCUUGCAGAACAAAAAGUUCAGAGAAAGACAAGUUGCUGGCAUUGGCUCAACACAUCAAGAAUGUCAGGGUCUAGGUUUCUUGGACUUUUCCUCAUUGAUAAAACAUAGCUGCUACAUCUCCAGUCCUCUCAUUUGUGAUCCAGGGAGGAAGGCCAGGUACAGGAUGGGCAGGUACACUUUAGGACAGGUUUACGGGAAAAAUUAAAUGCACAGAGCACACUUACCCAAUUUGUGAAUCAUACGCAAAACAGAAAGCCACAUGGUGUGGAGAACCUCCAUGCCUGCCUUUUAGCAGAUGUUCCUGGGGAAUGCCAAUACAACCCAGGAUUCCUUGGAAAGUGAGAAAAAUGAUGUAUCUCCUACAGCCUCUUCAUUCUUCAAAAUGAACAUGAGAAUCAAUACACUAAUCAAGAACAAAGGUUCUUGGACAGACUUGCAUCUAAAUUCCAACUCUACUGUUAAAAACCAUGGGACUUUAACCUAAAUGUAAGACAGUAAGCCAUCAAAAUCCUCGAGGAGAAAGCAGGCAAAAACCUCUUUGAUCUUGGCUGCA